GACGAACGCUGGCGGCGUGCUUAACACAUGCAAGUCGAACGGAAAGGCCCUGCUUUUGUGGGGUGCUCGAGUGGCGAACGGGUGAGUAACCCGUGAGUAACCUGCCCUUGACUUUGUGAUAACUUCAGGAAACUGGGGCUAAUACCUGAUAGGAGCUCCUGCUGCAUGGUGGGGGUUGGAAAGUUUCGGCGGUUGGGGAUGGACUCGCGGCUUAUCAGCUUGUUGGUGGGGUAGUGGCUUACCAAGGCUUUGACGGGUAGCCGGCCUGAGAGGGUGACCGGCCACAUUGGGACUGAGAUACGGCCCAGACUGCUACGGGAGGCAGCAGGGGGGAAUAUUGCACAAUGGGCGGAAGCGUGAUGCAGCAACGCCGCGUGCGGGAUGACGGCCUUCGGGUUGUAAACCGCUUUAGCCUGUGACGAAGCGUGAGUGACGGUAAUGGGUAAAGAAGCACCGGCUAACUACGUG
rnacentral:rRNA from 1 species